CUAGGCUAAUCUCGCAUCGCGAGUUGGCAUACCGUGUAACGUGAAUUGACUUUAUUUUCGCACAGAAUAAUUUUUAAUACAAAUGCGAGCAAAGCGGUCAUUUCAUUGUGUUGUUCACAACACCAGCGCUGCGUUUUUAAAGCAGCAGUUUGUCAGAUUCAUUGGCUCAAUUUUUAAAAAAUGCAGCUCUUCGGUCCAAGAAGUUAGAAGGCGAUGAUGUUCAGUUGAGUCUGUUUUCACCGAGGGGCGUGAAUCACCUGAGCUCUACUGGAGCACAGCUCAGCAGUAACAUACAAAUAGGAAGAUGAAGAAUGGAAUGUUUUCAUUCUUCCAAAGAGCAUGGAAGGCUAUGAAGCAUCCGUUACUCUGCAGAUGGAAUAUAGUGGAGUCUUUUGUGCCUCUAUCUGAGACGGUCAGUCCUGAGCCACCAGUCCUCAUCCCUCAUCAUUCCUCAGGCUUUGAGUCCAUCUCUUUCAGCUCUACACUGGACAACAUGUCCAAAACAUCUUCGACCCUCUCUGAGGACAAUAUAGAUGAGAGAGAAGGUGAAGUGCCUGUCAGUGGGCCAUCAGUUACCCUGAGUGCUCAGUGUGACACAGAUGCUUCUCCUAUGGAGAACAGUGCAACAGAGAAACAUACAAAUAACGAGGAGAGAAGGUUCUUCACCAGACCGUGGAUGGUUUACUUACUGCUGUGCUGCAUACAGCUAUCAGAUUCAGUCAAUUCAAGUCUCUCCAAACUCUGAAUUGUACUGCACAUGCUGAGGACAGAUGAGAGAGGAGGUGAUGAUAUCUGGAGCAUGCGAGUCAAUAGGACAAGCGGCCUGGAUAUUAUCAGUAUUUCAAGCCAAGCGUAUGACAAAACUACAGCAGCAAGCAAAACGCAGAGGAAUGUUUGCCAAUAAAUGUUUACAAAUGAGACCAAUGUUUCAUUGUGAUCAUAUGCCAUGACAAUUAUGUAAGGUUAAGGUUAUUUACUUACUUGAAAUGAUCAAACUAAAUGAAAUGUGUGCUGUGCUGCAGGGUUGUUCAUCAUAAUUUGGUCUGGAUGGCCCAGCUGCUCUAGUGGUGUCAAUACUGAUCCCGAGGCCACACGAGAACACUAUUGAUCUCA
ensembl:lncRNA